rfam:Glossina austeni unplaced genomic scaffold Scaffold218, whole genome shotgun sequence.
CGCGUACAAGCAAUCGACCUUUGUCACAAGGAAGCCUUGUUUCAUCUGUUGUCAUAAUAUAUACUGAUUAUGCAGUUCAGGUUUGAAUUUGGCUGUGAAAAUAUACAAUAAAUUCACAGUUGGGAAAAACGAAAUUACUUUCUGAGCAACCUAUAAUUUUGAGCAAAUUAGAGCGCUUAGAGCAGGCUCCCGAGUUUUGAAUCUAAGGCCUCUGUGCUACUGUGAUCCAGAGGUAAUGAUUAAUAGGAGUAGUUUGGGGGCAUUAGUAUUACGACGCGAGACUAACUAACCGUCGUAAGAUUAACUUCAGCGAAAACAUUUGCAAAGUAUGUUUUCAUUAAUCAAGAAGGGCGAUCAGAUGCCGUUGUAUUUCAAAACGUAAACGAUGCUAGGCAGCAAUUGGAUGUGGCUACUAUUAUGGCUCCCUCAGACGCUUCGAGGAAAACCAAAGCUUUUGGGCUGCG